rnacentral:rRNA from 1 species
UGGUUUUUUGUUUAUAUAAAAAAUCUGGCCUGCUCAGUGAAUUAUUAAAUAGCUGCAGUAUUUUGACUGUACAAAGGUAGCAUAAUCAUUUGUCUUUUAAUUGAGGUCUGGAAUGAAUGGUUUGAUGAAAAAUAUACUUUAUUUAUUUUUUAUAAAAAACUUAAUUUUUAAGUUAAAAAGCUUUAAAAUUUUUUUAUAGGACGAGAAGACCCUAUAGAACUUUAUUUAUAUAUUUUUAUAUUUUUUGUGGAUUAUAAAUUAAUAAUAAAGGUAUAUAAGUUUUGUUGGGGUGAUAAAAAAAAUAAUAUAACUUUUUUUAAUUUUUACAUUAAUUAAUGUAUAUUUGAUCCUUUAAUUUGGAAAAAAAGAAUAAGUUACCUUAGGGAUAACAGCGUUAUUAUUUCGGAGAGUUCAUAUCGAUGAAAUAUUUUGCGACCUCGAUGUUGGAUUAAAAUAAGAUAUAGAAGUAGAAUAUUAUAUUCUUGGUCUGUUCGACCUUUAAAUUUUUACAU